GGGGUCCAACGCCCCGCAGCGUCCCCCUCUGGAAUCUGGCGGCUUCGGAUAAACCUCUCCGCUCGUAGCUUUCCAGUGCACCAGCUGCUGCGAGAUAUCCGCCCCGCCCACGUUACCCGGUCCUACCCCCGCCUCCACCACUGCGCACGCUCUGCGCGCAGGCGCAGAGUGAACUCUUCCCGCGGAACAUUAGGCGCUGGAGCUCACGGUCCCGCGGCUGUGGCGGGCGGUGGCGGGCAGUCGCGGGCGGUCGCUGCCCACUUCCGUGUCCCGCUUUCAGGCUUAACGAACGUGGGGUACUACUGGCACAGCGGGCGCUUCCCGCUAUGGGCGUUUGUGAGCACUAGAGAUGCUGACGCCGAAGAGGGCAGCUCUGGGUUCAUGCGAGCUGGAGGCCCUUGGAGUCCCUGUGGCACCCCGAAUCCAGCACUGCCAUGGUCCGACGGAGGUCCCUGGGAUUCGAGCCGGCAGGGAUGGUGCGGCCAGGCCCUGCACUAGAUCCGGUGUGGCCCUAGUCCUUUCAAGCUGGGUCUUUGAGACAGAGGUCUUGGCUUCCAGAUCAGCGGAGCUCUUGGAGGCACAAGCUUGGUCACCCACCCUACCCAUUCGGCCUGGCUUUCUAGAGGGCCACUUCAAGAGCCAGAGUGAUGGCUGGGUCCAGUUUUCUCAUGUUUCAGAUUAAAAAAUUCACUAUGGACUGAGAUAGGAGGAAGGGGGCAAACCUCAUGUCAGUGGCAGAGGAAGAAUUAGAAGCUGUGUUUCCUUUGAGGCAAGGGGCCUGAAGACCCAGUCCUUAACAUUUCCUGCCACUUACAAGCUUUGACCAAGUCCCUGCAUGUCUCUGAGCCCGGCCUUUCUUCCUUUAAUGGGGAUAAUACUCUUCCCACCUACCUCAUUCAGUUGGUGUAGAGGUCAAAGUCAUACAUCUUUUCUCAAUCAUUUAUUCACUACUCAAACCAAAACCGGGCCCUAAUGUGUUGCAGAACAACUUUGGCAUUUAUGAAGCACCAUGCAAAGCAUUAGAAAUGCUUCCCUCAGCAUCCUGAAGCUCCCAAGCUGCCUUAUUCCUAAGAGAAUCUUCCCAUCCUCACUCUCAUCACCCAAAGAUUCUGAAAAAGGAUGGAGGAAGGAUAUCACCUGGACUGGUGGUCAUGAAACUUCUAGAAAACUUGGAAGAAGCCUUCUUUAAACUGCAUGGAGAUGGAUAAAUCAGUUCACAGAUUAUUGUUGUAUUUGGUUGAGAGAGGAAGGUGGGUGACAAAAUAUGGUAGGCUCCUUGAGGCCCCCAGCCGGUUCUGCUUGUCUCAGUAGUCUCUAUGCCUUUUGCGGCUCCUGAGCCCGAGGACAUAUUCCCAGAUGAGCGGGAAACUGAAGAGCCUUGGCCUGAUUACAGGAGUGAGGAACACUUCAUGACAAAAGGAGGGAUCGGUGUUCUACGUUGAUGUGCCAACAGUCCACUUCUCAGGAGGUUAAGUCAAAGCAGCUGGUCUGAGACAGCCUGACCCACACAUGGCCCAGUGACUACCAGAGACAACCUUGGGAAGCGGAGUGUUGGUAGACUCCCUGGCAUUGAACCUGUGACCCAGACACCCGGCCUUGAGUUUAAACUCUGUCAUCUCAGACUAGUUUUUAGCACUAUGGACAUUUAGAAUCCCUACACAUUUCUCAAUUUAAAUGGAGUAAUGAAGAUCCUUUUCUGCUUAUCUUUGACAUUUU